rnacentral:rRNA from 1 species
UGGGGAAUAUCGGACAAUGGGGGGAACCCUGAUCCAGCCAUGCCGCGUGUGUGAAGAAGGCCUUAUGGUUGUAAAGCACUUUAAGCGAGGAGGAGGGUACUGGUAUUAAUACUACCAGGUACUGGACGUUACUCGCAGAAUAAGCACCGGCUAACUCUGUGCCAGCAGCCGCGGUAAUACAGAGGGUGCGAGCGUUAAUCGGAUUUACUGGGCGUAAAGCGUGCGUAGGCGGCUAAUUGAGUCGGAUGUGAAAUCCCCGAGCUUAACUUGGGAAUUGCAUUCGAUACUGGUUAGCUAGAGUGUGGGAGAGGAUGGUAGAAUUCCAGGUGUAGCGGUGAAAUGCGUAGAGAUCUGGAGGAAUACCGAUGGCGAAGGCAGCCAUCUGGCCUAACACUGACGCUGAGGUACGAAAGCAUGGGGAGCAAACAGG